GACGAACGCUGGCGGCGUGCUUAAUACAUGCAAGUCGAGCGGGGUCCAUCUGGUGGCAACACCAGUGAAGGCCGAGCGGCGAACGGGUGAGUAACACGUGAGCAACCUGCCCCGAAGUCUGGAAUAACAUCGGGAAACCGGUGCUAAUACCGGAUCGCCCCACCUGACCGCAUGAUCGGGUGAGGAAAGAUUUAUCGCUUCGGGAGGGGCUCGCGGCCUAUCAGCUAGUUGGNGGGGUAACGGCCUACCAAGGCGUCGACGGGUAGCUGGUCUGAGAGGACGACCAGCCACACUGGGACUGAGACACGGCCCAGACUCCUACGGGAGGCAGCAGUAGGGAAUCUUGCGCAAUGGGCGAAAGCCUGACGCAGCAACGCCGCGUGGGGGUGACGGCC
rnacentral:rRNA from 1 species